rnacentral:rRNA from 1 species
GACCUCCACUGGCUCAGAUUGAACGCUGGCGGCAGGCUUAACACAUGCAAGUCGAACGGUAACAUGAGUGCUUGCACUUGAUGACGAGUGGCGGACGGGUGAGUAAAGUAUGGGGAUCUGCCGAAUGGAGGGGGACAACAGUUGGAAACGACUGCUAAUACCGCAUAAAGUUGAGAGACCAAAGCAUGGGACCUUCGGGCCAUGCGCCAUUUGAUGAACCCAUAUGGGAUUAGCUAGUUGGUAGGGUAAUGGCUUACCAAGGCGACGAUCUCUAGCUGGUCUGAGAGGAUGACCAGCCACACUGGAACUGAGACACGGUCCAGACUCCUACGGGAGGCAGCAGUGGGGAAUAUUGCACAANGGNGGNAACCCUGAUGCAGCNAUGCCGCGUGUCNUGANGAAGGCCUUCGGGUUGUAAAGUACUUUCGGUAANGAGGAAGGUGGUGUAUCUAAUAGGUGCAUCAAUUGACGUUAAUUACAGAAGAAGCACCGGCUAACUCCGUGCCAGCAGCCGCGGUAAUACGGAGGGUGCGAGCGUUAAUCGGAAUGACUGGGCGUAAAGGGCAUGUAGGCGGAUAAUUAAGUUAGGUGUGAAAGCCCUGGGCUCAACCUAGGAAUUGCACUUAAAACUGGUUAACUAGAGUAUUGUAGAGGAAGGUAGAAUUCCACGUGUAGCGGUGAAAUGCGUAGAGAUGUGGAGGAAUACCGGUGGCGAAGGCGGCCUUCUGGACAGAUACUGACGCUGAGAUGCGAAAGCGUGGGGAGCAAACAGGAUUAGAUACCCUGGUAGUCCACGCNGUAAACGAUGAGUGCNAUUGUGGAGGUCGCUAGAUGGU